rnacentral:rRNA from 1 species
UCGGGAAUUUUGGGCAAUGGGCGAAAGCCUGACCCAGCAACGCCGCGUGAAGGAUGAAGUAUUUCGGUAUGUAAACUUCGAAAGAAUAGGAAGAAUAAAUGACGGUACUAUUUAUAAGGUCCGGCUAACUACGUGCCAGCAGCCGCGGUAAUACGUAGGGACCAAGCGUUGUUCGGAUUUACUGGGCGUAAAGGGCGCGUAGGCGGCAAUUCAAGUCAUCUGUGAAAUCUCCGGGCUUAACUCGGAACGGUCAGAUGAUACUGCUUUGCUAGAGUGCAGAAGGGGCAAUCGGAAUUCUUGGUGUAGCGGUGAAAUGCGUAGAUAUCAAGAGGAACACCUGAGGUGAAGACGGGUUGCUGGGCUGACACUGACGCUGAGGCGCGAAAGCCAGGGGAGCAAACGGGAUUAGAUACCCUCGUAGUCCCUGAG